CUUCUCCCCUUUCUACUCAUCCCUCAGAAACUGUAGGUAUAUCUAUGUCCUGAAGAUAGGAGGACUUCCUAAUCACUCCCCUGAAGUAGAUGGGUGAUGCCUCUACCCCUCCCCAAGAAACAUAAGGCUUUUGCCUGGAUCCUGGAGGAGUAGCACUUCCUGCUUCUAUUCCAGUAACUUAAUGCUUUUUCUUUUUAGAAGAGGAGGGUCUGAGAAAAUACAAAGUUUUAUCUCUGCUCCAGGAGUAGCUGAUCACUUGCACACUGAUGUUACUGAGGGAGACUCUCCAGUUUUCUGCCUUGACCUUCAAUUUUCAUGGAAUUGGCUCAUGGAAAAAUAUUUGUCAUCCUAGAUGUAAAGAUCAAAAGGAUAAUGGAAAAGUCAAAUUCACCGCUUGACUCUGAGGCUUUGAAGAUUGCUGGCAUCCCCAAAAGCCUCAUGGACUUCAUGGAGAGGAAUACAGACUCUUUUUAAGAUAAAAUGUCAAGAUA